rnacentral:siRNA from 1 species
UGCAAGGGGAGAAAAA